UGAGCUUCUCACUAGCUUCCCCUUGUUAGCCUCAGUUUCUAGCCCUUGGUGUUUCCAGGUACUGGUUGCUGUGUAUUUGUCGUUUUCCACCUUGGGUUGGAUAUUUCUUUGUGUUUGGAUUCUGGCUGCCCCUGGACUUUGCCGUCCCCUGGAUUUAUUUCUCAGACUGGACAGAUUACACAGCUCUGGUCACUGUAUGAACUCUUGUUUUGCUGCUGCUCCCUGCUUGCUUUUGCUCAUCUGGCCUAAAGAAAUGCUUGUCUUAUGAAGCAGAGGAAGACUAAAGCAGCUGCCAGGCAAAGACAUUUAAAUGCCAUUUUGGAGAACUGUUGAUUUGCUGCCACUUGGCCGAGCCUCCUUCUAGACUGAUGAACCGUCAGAGUUCAAACCACCAUGGUGGUUUCCCUGCUUAUGAAGUUGUACUUCAGAUCAAUGUUAUUGACUCAGGG